GUUGCGGUUAAAAAGCUCGUAGUUGGAUCUCGGCGGGCAGGGGGUGGUUCGCUCUUCAGCGCUACUGCCCCGCUUUGCCCGUGUGAUUGGCGGAGGUUUCGGGGUGCUCUUCGUUGAGUGACUCGGAGCGCCGUCAGGUUUACUUUGAAAAAAUUAGAGUGCUCAAAGCAGGCUUUUCACGCUUGAAUAUUCGCGCAUGGAAUAAUGGAAUAGGAACUCGUUUCUAUUUUGUUGGUUUUCGGAAAUCGAGUUAAUGAUUAACAGGGACAAUUGGGGGCAUUAGUAUUCAGACGACAGAGGUGAAAUUCUUGGACCGUCUGAAGACUGACUACUGCGAAAGCAUUUGCCAAGAGUGUUUUCAUUAAUCAAGAACGAAAGUUAGAGGUUCGAAGGCGAUCAGAUACCGCCCUAGUUCUAACCAUAAACGAUGCCAGCUAGCGAUCUGCCGAGUUUUUUUUGUAGGCUCCGCAGGAAGCUUUCGGGAAACCAAAGCUUUUGGGUUCCGGGGGAAGUAUGGUUGCAAAGCUGAAACUUAAAGGAAUUGACGGAAAGGCACCACCAGGAGUGGAGCCUGCGGCUUAAUUUGACUCAACACGGGAAAUCUCACCAGGCCCGGACC
rnacentral:rRNA from 1 species